GACGAACGCUGGCGGCGUGCUUAACACAUGCAAGUGGAGCGACGAACCGGGGCUUGCCCCGGGGCAGAGCCGCGAACGGGUGAGUAACACGUGGGUAACCUGCCUCAAUGAUUGGGACAACCCGGGGAAACUCGGGCUAAUACCAAAUGUGUUCACUCCUUUUAAGGGGAGUGAGGAAAGGAAGCUUCGGCCUCCGCAUUGAGAUGGGCCCGCGGCCCAUUAGCUUGUUGGUGAGGUAACGGCUCACCAAGGCUUCGAUGGGUAGCUGGUCUGAGAGGACGAUCAGCCACACUGGGACUGAGACACGGCCCAGACUCCUACGGGAGGCAGCAGUGGGGAAUCUUGCACAAUGCGCGAAAGCGUGAUGCAGCAACGCCGCGUGGGGGAAGACGGCC
rnacentral:rRNA from 1 species